rnacentral:rRNA from 1 species
ACGAACGCUGGCGGCAUGCCUAAUACAUGCAAGUCGAACGAACUCUUCGGAGUUAGUGGCGCACGGGUGCGUAACGCGUGGGAAUCUGCCCCUUGGUUCGGAAUAACAGUUGGAAACGACUGCUAAUACCGGAUGAUGACGAAAGUCCAAAGAUUUAUCGCCAAGGGAUGAGCCCGCGUAGGAUUAGCUAGUUGGUGAGGUAAAGGCUCACCAAGGCAACGAUCCUUAGCUGGUCUGAGAGGAUGAUCAGCCACACUGGGACUGAGACACGGCCCAGACUCCUACGGGAGGCAGCAGUAGGGAAUAUUGGACAAUGGGCGAAAGCCUGAUCCAGCAAUGCCGCGUGAGUGAUGAAGGCCUUAGGGUUGUAAAGCUCUUUUACCCGAGAUGAUAAUGACAGUAUCGGGAGAAUAAGCCCCGGCUAACUCCGU